AUGUUUCAGAGUGGUGAUGAGUAUGCUGGCAGAUGUGACCGUGGAGACCAAUGUUCUGGGCACCCUGGAGUCCCACAGGAGCAGAGGAAAAGGACCAAGCAUGAGAGAACAGGCUGUCUCUUGGGCUUUGGACUGUCUCAUGUCACAGGCUGCCCUAUGCCUGCAAUGAGCUGCGCACACCAGAAGAUGCUUAAAUAUCCACAUAUCUCAUACUGCAGGGAGUUUUCAGCUUGUGGGCGUUUUUAGAAGGCGAGAAUGGGAGGAGUGAAAUGAUCCACGUCCCCGUUGUCUGUAGGAGAAGGAGAUGUAUUCUGUGCAACUUCUAAACAGCCAUACACCAGGAGGAAGAAUUUACUCGGGAGCUGUUCCCAUGUGGUAGCUGUUAUUAAUGGAUUGAUUUUUCAGACAAUAGUACGGCUUCUUGCAGAAACCCAAACUCCAAGAACUUACUGUUUCAGCCAAAAGAAAUCUGUAAAAAAAUGUUUUCUUAAAAAAAAAAUUGUUUAUUUUUUAAAUGUGGAAAAUAGAUUUUUUUUUUUUUUCCUUCAAAGUAAAGCCCAAAAAACACCCUUUGGCUCAACUGUCAAAUCUCUGAAGACUGAAAGUUCAGGAAACCUUCCUUUGGACCCAGCUCCCUUCACUGCUGUCUGCCUUUAAGGGAAGCCACCUCAGGCACAAGGACUUUGUGCAUGGAGGCUAAUGAAGUACAGGAAGCCCUGCUCCCCUGGAGUCUUCAGGGACACAAUACUGUCUUCCCCUGGCAGUCAUACAUCAUGGGACAGCUUCCCAGAAAUCACAAGCAGAUUAAACAUUACAGGAUCUUUUCCCUUGCAAUGGCACAGGUAUGCUUGCCUCUCUAAUGGUUUCAGAAAGUAUAAAGCCAGAGAUCAUUUUAAUUUGCUCACUGAUAAUUUUGUGUAAUGUAUUCUAUUAACUAGACAUUAAUCACCAGCAGGCACCACCAGCAAGGAAAAAAGAUGCCAUCAAAGCUAAGAAUGCUUUAAAACUACUGUGGGAGGAAAAAAAGAGUAGAAAAUUAUUGUGAAAACAUUUUACCACACUGCAGAAAAAUGCAAAAGUUGUCCUUCCCUCUGUCUGCACUAAAUUACAAUGAAUCUGAACAGAGAGAAAAUGAUUUCCUGCAAUCAGAUCCAAUGGUCUCCAAACCCCUGAUAAUACAAACAAGGACUGUGUGAGUCAAUCAGCCAAAUACAGAGCAAGGGAGGUCUUGUUUUCAAUCAUAUCCACAAAUGGCAAACAGAGCUGUGUGUCAGAAUCUGCUCUUUUCCUAUUUACAAUCAGUCAAAUAGACUCUUCUUGCAUAUGUCUAAAAUGUUCAUGAGUUUAGAAACAGGUGGUGUAGAGGUCAGGAAGCUCAUGUGUGUUUUGGAGUUUCCUAUCCACUGAAAAUUAUUAGUUUUUCAAAUAAUUCAAGAUGUUGUCACAUUAAAUAAAAUUAUCCCAAUGAUGAUGCUAUGUGUGUGUCAGCUUAUGUUUCAAUAAUGUAUCCUGCAUUUUGGCUGCCUAGGAUUAAUUUUUGGAUAACAAGUUAUUUUUCUUUACAUUGCUGCCAGCAUGUUCCUAUUUGAAUUCAGUGUUGGCAACAGAAAUGUAAGAAUGAGGAUCUGUUUUAGUGCUCCCUUUAGUUUACAUUGAUUAGUUUACAUUAAUUUUCGCCUGAGCUGUUGCAUUAUCGCCGUAUGAAAAUAUUAGGAUUGUUUUUUUUUUUUUUUUUCAAGAUUUUCCCUUCAAAGUUUAAGUAAGUUAAUCUAUGAAAAUAUUUUUACUCAUUGCAGAUUUGGGAAAUACUGCAUUAUUUCAGAACAAAGCUCCUGGAUCUCUUUCUUUCCCAUCCUCAGAAAAAAGUAUUCAUGAAAGAUUGGGAAAUAUACAGAUUUGAAAAACAAUCAAAACAUCUGAGUAUUACAGCAUGACUUAUUGAUGUUGCGUUGUGUCAAGACAAAUGAGGUGCUGCCCUGAGUGUUCUCUGCUACAGCUUUAGUAAUGUUUUUUUUAGUGGGAGACAGACCCUUGCCCUGGCCCAUGAUAAAGUUAUUAUUUCAUUCGUUUGCUGAUUCUUUUUCUCACUGUCUUCUCACAAAGCCACCUCUUCUCCUGUCUACUCUGAUUGAAUUGGCUGCCUGUAUUAGGUUCUUAGAUUCAUGGUAUGGUCUCUGUAUCAUAAUAUUUAUUUCAGAUUAAGGGUAACAGCACAAAGAGCAAGUGAAUGCAAAGCCUAUAGGAGAGGUCACAGAGCAUCUUGUGCCAGAUGGUGUUGUAGCUCUCCUGAAAGCUACCAGGUGGGUGUUGCAGAAACUUAUAUUCUUCACUUUUUGAUUUUGAGGAAAAUUUAAGGACCUGCUGUGAGAUGAUUCCUAAAGCCUUUCAGUCUAGAGAAAGUGAGAAGUAUAAUUUGAACAGUCAGGGAAAGAAGCUGAAGUGCUGUGAUUCUCAGCUCUAAGAAAGUCUGUAAAAAUGGCACAUUUUCCAGAUUUAUAUCUGAAACAUGAAUUUUGCUUCUCUGAUCCCACUCAUCUCUUUGUACUGGGUAUGUUUUCAUGUAUUACUUAAAAAAAAAAAAAGGGGUCUUAUAUUUGCAGACUCUGUCGGUUUCAUGUUACCCUUGCCAGAAGGUGUCUCACUUGCAUGAUCAUUGCAAGAACCGGUGGGUUCAUUUACACUCUAUGAGCUAUCUUUAAGUACACUGCAUACUGCUAGCUUGGUUUAAGAUGAUGUAUUGCAGUCAGCCAGCAAGAUAAUUAAGGGAAUAUAUUAAGGUAACCUGGGU
ensembl:lncRNA